CCCUCCAUCUGGGAGCCGAGCAAUCGCCAGUCUCGGUGAGAGGCUGCUCGUUUCUCUGGUCAGGAACGGUGUCUUCUCCACAGCUGAAGGUUGGAUCCAAGAGGAUGACUCCAGGUGGACACGGGUAGGUGUGCAUUCCCACAGGUGAGGUCUCGGGAGCCAUGGAGAAGUC